GACGACCGGCGCACGGGUGAGUAACGCGUAUGCAACCUGUCCGUUACAGGGGGAUAGCCCAUGGAAACGUGGAUUAACACUCCAUAAUAUAAUAUAGAGGCAUCUUUGUAUUAUUAAAUAUUCAUAGGUAACGGUUGGGCAUGCGUCCUAUUAGAUAGUUGGGGGGGUAACGGCCCACCAAGUCGAUGAUAGGUAGGGGUUCUGAGAGGAAGGUCCCCCACACUGGUACUGAGACACGGACCAGACUCCUACGGGAGGCAGCAGUGAGGAAUAUUGGUCAAUGGGCGAGAGCCUGAACCAGCCAAGUCGCGUGAGGGAUGACUGCCCUAUGGGUUGUAAACCUCUUUUGUAUGGGGGGAAUAAGCUUUACGAGUAGAGUGAUGACAGUACCAUACGAAUAAGCAUCGGCUAACUCCGUGCCAGCAGCCGCGGUAAUACGGAGGAUGCGAGCGUUAUCCGGAUUUAUUGGGUUUAAAGGGUGCGUAGGCGGCAUUAUAAGUUAGUGGUAAAAUAUUGGGGCUUCACCUCACUACGCCAUUAAUACUGUAGAGCUAGAGAACAGACGAGGUAGGCGGAAUAAGUUAAGUNGCGGUGAAAUGCAUANAUAUAACUUAUAACACGAUAGCGNAGGCAGCUUAUCANACUGAGUCUGACGCUGAUGCACGA
rnacentral:rRNA from 1 species